GGAUAUGAGGGCUAUCUGACUGCGACAUUCGUCACCCUAUUGAUCGCCAGGGUUGAUUUGGCUGAUCUGGCUGGCUAGGGGGAUAUCCCCUUCCUCCCUCACUGCUCCAUGUGCGACCCUCCUGAAACUGCUUGGUCAAAGAGGAUGACCUUCCCCGAUAGAGGAGGACCGUUCUUUGGUCAAGGGUAUACCAGUAGCUAUGCUCCCCUGCUGGAACCUCCACACAAGCUCUCAAUCUGCUUCUGAUCUUUCAAGGUCACAAAGACCAGCAGGGAGUUGAGUCUCAUGGGAACUGUGGCAUAAGAAUGGACUCCUCUUU
ensembl:misc_RNA 7SK 7SK RNA